CUGUACCUACGGGACGCAGCAGUAGGGAAUCUUCCACAAUGGGCGAAAGCCUGAUGGAGCAACGCCGCACGGGUGAAGAAGGUCUUCGGAUCGUAAAACCCUGUUGUUAGAGAAGAAAGUGCGUGAGAGUAACUGUUCACGUUUCGACGGUAUCUAACCAGAAAGCCACGGCUAACUACGUGCCAGCAGCCGCGGUAAUACGUAGGUGGCAAGCGUUAUCCGGAUUUAUUGGGCGUAAAGGGAACGCAGGCGGUCUUUUAAGUCUGAUGUGAAAGCCUUCGGCUUAACCGGAGUAGUGCAUUGGG
rnacentral:rRNA from 1 species